UCGGGAAUUUUGGGCAAUGGGCGAAAGCCUGAUCCAGCAAUGCCGCGUGCAGGAAGAAGGCCUUCGGGCUGUAAACUGCUUUUGUACGGAACGAAAAGGCUCUUUCUAAUAAAGAGGGCCCAUGACGGUACCGUAAGAAUAAGCACCGGCUAACUACGUGCCAGCAGCCGCGGUAAUACGUAGGGUGCGAGCGUUAAUCGGAAUUACUGGGCGUAAAGCGUGCGCAGGCGGUUCUAUAAGACAGAUGUGAAAUCCCCGGGCUCAACCUGGGAAUGGCAUUUGUGACUGUAGAGCUAGAGUACGGUAGAGGGGGAUGGAAUUCCGCGUGUAGCAGUGAAAUGCGUAGAUAUGCGGAGGAACACCGAUGGCGAAGGCAAUCCCCUGGACCUGUACUGACGCUCAUGCACGAAAGCUAGGGUAGCGAAGAGGAUUAGAUACCCCCGUAGUCCCUGAGCGGGCUGGCAAGGCGCAU
rnacentral:rRNA from 1 species